rnacentral:rRNA from 1 species
UUAGCGGCGGACGGGUGAGUAACACGUGGAUAACCUACCUAUAAGACUGGGAUAACUUCGGGAAACCGGAGCUAAUACCGGAUAAUAUUUUGAACCGCAUGGUUCAAAAGUGAAAGACGGUCUUGCUGUCACUUAUAGAUGGAUCCGCGCUGCAUUAGCUAGUUGGUAAGGUAACGGCUUACCAAGGCAACGAUGCAUAGCCGACCUGAGAGGGUGAUCGGCCACACUGGAACUGAGACACGGGUCCAGACUCCUACGGGAGGCAGCAGUAGGGAAUCUUCCGCAAUGGGCGAAAGCCUGACGGAGCAACGCCGCGUGAGUGAUGAAGGUCUUCGGAUCGUAAAACUCUGUUAUUAGGGAAGAACAUAUGUGUAAGUAACUGUGCACAUCUUGACGGUACCUAAUCAGAAAGCCACGGCUAACUACGUGCCAGCAGCCGCGGUAAUACGUAGGUGGCAAGCGUUAUCCGGAAUUAUUGGGCGUAAAGCGCGCGUAGGCGGUUUUAAGUCUGAUGUGAAAGCCCACGGCUCAACCGUGGAGGGUCAUUGGAAACUGGAAAACUUGAGUGCAGAAG